rnacentral:rRNA from 1 species
GUCUGUGAUGCCCUUAGAUGUUCUGGGCCGCACGCGCGCUACACUGACAGAGCCAGCGAGUUUCUUUUCCUUGGCCGGAAGGUCUGGGUAAUCUUGUGAAACUCUGUCGUGCUGGGGAUAGAGCAUUGCAAUUAUUGCUCUUCAACGAGGAAUACCUAGUAAGCGUGAGUCAUCAGCUCGCGUUGAUUACGUCCCUGCCCUUUGUACACACCGCCCGUCGCUACUACCGAUUGAAUGGCUUAGUGAGGUCUCCGGAUUAGCUUUGGGGAGCCGGCAACGGCACCCUAUUGCUGAGAAGCUGAUCAAACUUGGUCAUUUAGAGGAAGUAAAAGUCGUAACAAGGUUUCCGUAGGUGAACCUGCGGAAGGAUCAUUAUUGAAUGAACUUGGUUGGGUUGUUGCUGGCUCCACUGGGGGGCAUGUGCACACCUGGCACCAAUUUCUUUACCACCUGUGCAUCUACUCAUAGGCUAGGAACUAGAUACUUCGAGGCUGACUCGGUUUUGGCAAUUGCAGUGCUCACAAGUCUGCUUUUUUGCCUACAGUUCCUGUCUAUGCUUUUUAUCAUAUACCCCUAAUUGUAUGUCUAAGAAUGUUAUUGAAUGGCAUGAAAAUUGCCUUUAAUCUUAUACAACUUUCAACAACGGAUCUCUUGGCUCUCGCAUCGAUGAAGAACGCAGCGAAAUGCGAUAAGUAAUGUGAAUUGCAGAAUUCAGUGAAUCAUCGAAUCUUUGAACGCACCUUGCGCUCCUUGGAAAUUCCGAGGAGCAUGCCUGUUUGAGUGUCAUGAUAUUCUCAACCUCUUCAACUUUUUUUGUUGACGGAGGCUUGGUAGUUGGGGGUCUGCUGGCCUUUUUCUUUCUAUGAAAAUUGGCAUGGCUCCCCUUAAAUGCAUUAGCGGAACCUUUGUGGAACUGGCUCUCAGUGUGAUAAUUAUCUACGCUGUAGCUUGUGAAGCGAUAUUGACUGAGGUUCAGCUCCCUAACUGUCUGUCUCUUUGUAGACAAUUUUUCUUGAUCAAUCUGACCUCAAAUCAGGUAGGACUACCCGCUGAACUUAAGCAUAUCAAUAAGCGGAGGAAAAGAAACUAACAAGGAUUCCCCUAGUAACUGCGAGUGAAGCGGGAAAAGCUCAAAUUUAAAAUCUGGCAGUCUCUGGCUGUCCGAGUUGUAAUCUAGAGAAGUGUUAUCUGCGCCGGACCGUGUAUAAGUCUCCUGGAAUGGAGCGUUGUAGAGGGUGAGAAUCCCGUCUUUGACACGGACUACCGGGGCUCUGUGAUGCGCUCUCAAAGAGUCGAGUUGUUUGGGAAUGCAGCUCUAAAUGGGUGGUAAAUUCCAUCUAAAGCUAAAUAUUGGCGAGAGACCGAUAGCGAACAAGUACCGUGAGGGAAAGAUGAAAAGAACUUUGGAAAGAGAGUUAAACAGUACGUGAAAUUGUUGAAAGGGAAACGCUUGAAGUCAGUCGCGUUGGCCAGGGAUCAACCUUGCUCUUUUGCUUGGCGCACUUCCUGGUCCGACGGGUCAGCAUCAAUUUUGACCGGUGGAUAAAGGUUGGGGGAAUGUGGCAUCCUUUGGAUGUGUUAUAGCCUCUGACUGUAUACAUCGGUUGGGAUUGAGGAACUCAGCAUGCCCGAAAGGGUCGGGUUUUAAACACCACGUUCGUGCUUAGGU